AUAACUCCGGGAAACCGGGGCUAAUACCGGAUGCUUGUUUGAACCGCAUGGUUCAAACAUAAAAGGUGGCUUCGGCUACCACUUACAGAUGGACCCGCGGCGCAUUAGCUAGUUGGUGAGGUAAUGGCUCACCAAGGCGACGAUGCGUAGCCGACCUGAGAGGGUGAUCGGCCACACUGGGACUGAGACACGGCCCAGACUCCUACGGGAGGCAGCAGUAGGGAAUCUUCCGCAAUGGACGAAAGUCUGACGGAGCAACGCCGCGUGAGUGAUGAAGGUUUUCGGAUCGUAAAGCUCUGUUGUUAGGGAAGAACAAGUACCGUUCGAAUAGGGCGGUACCUUGACGGUACCUAACCAGAAAGCCACGGCUAACUACGUGCCAGCAGCCGCGGUAAUACGUAGGUGGCAAGCGUUGUCCGGAAUUAUUGGGCGUAAAGGGCUCGCAGGCGGUUUCUUAAGUCUGAUGUGAAAGCCCCCGGCUCAACCGGGGAGGGUCAUUGGAAACUGGGGAACUUGAGUGCAGAAGAGGAGAGUGGAAUUCCACGUGUAGCGGUGAAAUGCGUAGAGAUGUGGAGGAACACCAGUGGCGAAGGCGACUCUCUGGUCUGUAACUGACGCUGAGGAGCGAAAGCGUGGGGAGCGAACAGGAUUAGAUACCCUGGUAGUCCACGCCGUAAACGAUGAGUGCUAAGUGUUAGGGGGUUUCCGCCCCUUAGUGCUGCAGCUAACGCAUUAAGCACUCCGCCUGGGGAGUACGGUCGCAAGACUGAAACUCAAAGGAAUUGACGGGGGCCCGCACAAGCGGUGGAGCAUGUGGUUUAAUUCGAAGCAACGCGAAGAACCUUACCAGGUCUUGACAUCCUCUGACAAUCCUAGAGAUAGGACGUCCCCUUCGGGGGCAGAGUGACAGGUGGUGCAUGGUUGUCGUCACCUCCUGUCCUGAGAUGUUGGGUUAAAUCCCGCAACAAACGCAACCCUUGAUCUUA
rnacentral:rRNA from 1 species